rnacentral:tRNA from 1 species
GGCUUUAUAGUCAAUGAAUGAUAUUAGAUUGCAAAUCUAAAGUAGCAUAUUUUGCUAAAGCUU